rnacentral:ncRNA from 1 species
CUUAAUGCGUAGACCAAGAGGGUAAUCAAGGGUGUUUUCAGCGACGGGGCGGCUGGUGCGAGCCUCGACCGAAUUGAUUACUGUAGCUUGUGAGUGCCACUUUGAAUUCAGUAGAAGCGGCCGGUUAGCCAUCGUUAACGGCGCUAAGUGGGGAGUAAUCCCAAUUUAGGUGGUACCGCGAGUCAACUCGUCCUAAUU